rnacentral:rRNA from 1 species
CAGUAGCCGCGGUAAUACAUAGGGUGCGAGCGUUAAUCGGAAUUACUGGGCGUAAAGGGCUCGCAGGCGGUUUCUUAAGUCUGAUGUGAAAGCCCCCGGCUCAACCGGGGAGGGUCAUUGGAAACUGGGAAACUUGAGUGCAGAAGAGGAGAGUGGAAUUCCACGUGUAGCGGUGAAAUGCGUAGAGAUGUGGAGGAACACCAGUGGCGAAGGCGACUCUCUGGUCUGUAACUGACGCUGAGGAGCGAAAGCGUGGGGAGCGAACAGGAUUAGAUACCCCCGUAGUCCCUGUCUCUUAUAC